GUAACACCAGAAGAUUUUGCCGCCAACAACAAUAUAAAUGCUACAUCGAUAUUUUGGCAUGCAAUAGUAACGCAUCGAAGCGUUUCAGACGAUACUUUUUGUUUGUUUACAAAAAUUAUUAACAAAAUGCCACUAACUGCAGAGAGUGCAGCUCAGCAGAUUCAGGAUCGCCUGAAAGAUAUUCAACAACAGAUGUUACACUUGGCUUGUUUCCCAGAGGCCGACCCCAGGGCUGGGUAGUUCCCCUUGGAAAUACUGAAAUACUGAAUACUGGAAAUACUGAAAUGACUAAAACACUGAAUAAAAAUACUAAUCCGAUUAUAAACCCAUCAAAUGUAGG